rnacentral:rRNA from 1 species
GACGUAGGGGGCGAGCGUUGUCCGGAUUUAUUGGGCGUAAAGAGCUCGUAGGCGGUUUGUUGCGUCGGCUGUGAAAUCCCGAGGCUCAACCUCGGGUCUGCAGUCGAUACGAGCAAACUAGAGUGUUGCAGGGGAGACUGGAAUUCCUGGUGUAGCGGUGAAAUGCGCAGAUAUCAGGAGGAACACCGGUGGCGAAGGCGGGGUCUCUGGGCCGAAAUUGACGCUGAGGAGCGAAAGCGUGGGGAGCAAACAGG